rnacentral:rRNA from 1 species
UACAGAGGGUGCAAGCGUUAAUCGGAAUUACUGGGCGUAAAGCGUGCGUAGACGGUAGCGUAAGUCGGGUGUGAAAGCCCCGGGCUCAACCUGGGAAUGGCAUUCGAGACUGCUCUGCUAGGGUGCGGAAGAGGGGAGCGGAAUUUCCGGUGUAGCGGUGAAAUUCGUAGAUAUCGGGAGGAACACCAGUGGCGAAGGCGGCUCUCUGGACAGGUACUGACGCUGAGACGCGAAAGCGUGGGUAGCAAACAGG